AGCGAACGCUGGCGGCAGGCUUAACACAUGCAAGUCGAGCGGGCACCUUCGGGUGUCAGCGGCAGACGGGUGAGUAACACGUGGGAACGUACCCUUCGGUUCGGAAUAACUCUGGGAAACUAGAGCUAAUACCGGAUACGUCCGAGAGGAGAAAGGUUUACUGCCGAAGGAUCGGCCCGCGUCUGAUUAGCUAGUUGGUGGGGUAAUGGCCUACCAAGGCGACGAUCAGUAGCUGGUCUGAGAGGAUGAUCAGCCACACUGGGACUGAGACACGGCCCAGACUCCUACGGGUGGCAG
rnacentral:rRNA from 1 species